GCGGGUGUAGCUCAACGGUAGAGCUCCGGUUUUCCAAACCGGCUGCGGGGGUUCGACUCCCUCUGCCCGCU
rnacentral:tRNA from 1 species